AUUGAACGCUGGCGGCAGGCCUAACACAUGCAAGUCGAGCGGAUGAGAGGAGCUUGCUUCUUGAUUCAGCGGCGGACGGGUGAGUAAUGCCUAGGAAUCUGCCUGGUAGUGGGGGACAACGUUUCGAAAGGAACGCUAAUACCGCAUACGUCCUACGGGAGAAAGCGGGGGACCUUCGGGCCUUGCGCUAUCAGAUGAGCCUAGGUCGGAUUAGCUAGUUGGUGAGGUAAUGGCUCACCAAGGCGACGAUCCGUAACUGGUCUGAGAGGAUGAUCAGUCACACUGGAACUGAGACACGGUCCAGACUCCUACGGGAGGCAGCAGUGGGGAAUAUUGGACAAUGGGCGAAAGCCUGACCCAGCCAUGCCGCGUGUGUGAAGAAGGUCUUCGGAUUGUAAAGCACUUUAAGUUGGGAGGAAGGGUUGUACGUUAAUACCGUGCAAUUUUGACGUUACCGACAGAAUAAGCACCGGCUAACUCUGUGCCAGCAGCCGCGGUAA
rnacentral:rRNA from 1 species